rnacentral:rRNA from 1 species
CCUACGGGAGGCAGCAGUGAGGAAUAUUGGUCAAUGGACGCAAGUCUGAACCAGCUAUUCCGCGUGCAGGAAGACGGCCCUAUGAGUUGUAAACUGCUUUUGUACGAGGGUAAACUCAGAUACGCGUAUCUGUCUGAAAGUAUCGUACGAAUAAGGAUCGGCUAACUCCGUUCCAGCAGCCGCGGUAAUACGGAGGAUUCAAUCGUUAUCCGGAUUUAUUGGGUUUAAAGGGUGCGUAGGCGGUCGGAUAAGUUGGAGGUGAAAUCCCGGGGCUCAACUUCGGAAUUGCAUAUGAUACUGUUAGGCUAGAGAGUGGUUGCGGGAGGCGGAAUGCAUGGUGUAGCGGUGAAAUGCUUAGAGAUCAUACAGAACACCGAUUGCGAAGGCAGCUUACCAAGCUGCAUCUGACGUUGAGGCACGAAAGCGUGGGGAGCAAACAGGAUUAGAUACCCUUGUAGUC